rnacentral:rRNA from 1 species
GCACUCGAGGCCAAUGAGCUCUGGGAAGCCGUCGACCCCGGCGGUGAGGAGUACCUGAAGGGUGGUGCCUUGUAUCGGAAGGAUCGCCAAGCUAUCACGACCAUCUGCUCGGUGAUGCCGGUGGACGUGCAGCAGCAUCUAAUCUCGAAGACAUCAGCGAAGGAGGCGUGGGACAUGCUCAAGACAUUGCAUCUGGGGCACUCGUGUGUGCGCGAGGCUAACUUGCAAACUUUGCUGAAAAGUUAUGAGAAUCUGAGGAUGGGAGAAGACGAGACAGUGGACGCCUUCGCAGCGAGGGUUGCUUCUAUGGUGAAUGGGAUUCACGGUCUCGGAGAGAAG